rnacentral:sRNA from 1 species
UCGCAUUGAGGUCGCCAACCACCAAGGC